CACCCCUGACACUGGGUAGAGAGACACCUGGUUGGUGGUGUUCUUCUCAUAUCAGUCAGGGGCAUAGCAACUGUAUAGUCCAAGUUCAUCCCAGCUUGAUGCUUUGCUUGGUAGUCAUAGCUGGUUCAUGCCCUGGGCACAUAA
ensembl:snoRNA